rnacentral:sRNA from 1 species
CUUGGUCAUUUAGAGGAAGUAAAAGUCGUAACAAGGUUUCCGUAGGUGAACCUGCGGAAGGAUCAUUAGUGAAUUGAAUAUGUUAGCGGACCUCUUCGGAGUCCCUAGCAUCAAAUCAUAUCCAUAACACCUGUGAACUGUAAGGCUGUCUUGAAAACGAAAGUGAUUAGAGCGCCUGCCCAUUUUAUACAAACAUUAAAGUAACAAACGUAGUCUUAUUAUAAUCUAAUAAAACUUUCAACAACGGAUCUCUUGGCUCUCGCAUCGAUGAAGAACGCAGCGAAAUGCGAUAAGUAAUGUGAAUUGCAGAAUUCAGUGGAUCAUCGAAUCUUUGAACGCACCUUGCGCUCUUUGGUAUUCCGAAGAGCAUGCCUGUUUGAGUGUCAUGAAAAUAUCAACCUUGACUUGGGUUUAGUGCUCUUGUCUUGGCUUGGAUUUGGCUGUUUGCCGCUCGAAAGAGUCGGCUCAGCUUAAAAGUAUUAGCUGGAUCUGUCUUUGAGACUUGGUUUGACUUGGCGUAAUAAGUUAUUUCGCUGAGGACAAUCUUCGGAUUGGCCGAGUUUCUGGGACGUUUGUCCGCUUUCUAAUACAAGUUCUAGCUUGCUAGACAUGACUUUUUUAUUAUCUGGCCUCAAAUCAGGUAGGACUACCCGCUGAACUUAAGCAUAUCAAUAAGCGGAGGAAAAGAAACUAACAAGGAUUCCCCUAGUAACGGCGAGUGAAGCGGGAAGAGCUCAAAUUUGAAAUCUGGUGGCCUCAGGCUAUCCGAGUUGUAAUCUAUAGAAACAUUUUCCGCGUUGGCCCAUGUACAAGUCUCUUGGAAUAGAGCGUCAUAGAGGGUGAGAAUCCCGUCCUUGACAUGGACUACCAGUGCUUUGUGAUAUGUUUUCAACGAGUCGAGUUGUUUGGGAAU